rnacentral:rRNA from 1 species
CCUACGGGAGGCAGCAGUGGGGAAUAUUGGACAAUGGGCGAAAGCCUGAUCCAGCCAUGCCGCGUGUGUGAAGAAGGCCUUCGGGUUGUAAAGCACUUUCAGUGGGGAAGAAAGCCUUGGGCUAAUACCCUCGAGGAAGGACAUCACCCACAGAAGAAGCACCGGCUAACUCCGUGCCAGCAGCCGCGGUAAUACGGAGGGUGCGAGCGUUAAUCGGAAUUACUGGGCGUAAAGCGCGCGUAGGCGGUCUGAUAAGCCGGUUGUGAAAGCCCCGGGCUCAACCUGGGAACGGCAUCCGGAACUGUCAGGCUAGAGUGCAGGAGAGGAAGGUAGAAUUCCCGGUGUAGCGGUGAAAUGCGUAGAGAUCGGGAGGAAUACCAGUGGCGAAGGCGGCCUUCUGGACUGACACUGACGCUGAGGUGCGAAAGCGUGGGUAGCAAACAGGAUUAGAUACCCGAGUAGUC